rnacentral:lncRNA from 1 species
CUGUUAGACCUCGUUGAUGCAGAAACAGCGUGAUAAAUAUUUUAUGAACGGGAUCCAGUAAACACACAGCAGUAGGAUGCUGCAGUGAUUAAAGGAAGUGUUUAAAAUUAGAGACAGAUCCUAAGUCCAGUUACCAUGAAGCAGUGCUAACUCACKCUGGAACAGGAUGUUCAGCCCUCCCGGAUAGUCCUGGCAGGGAGAAGGUCUGGAGUCACCCGGAGUUUAGAGAUGGAUUUGCCCUGUCUCUCUGAACCAUACACUUCUGCUGAACAACGUUCCUCCUCUCUCCCUAUCUGAUGCCAGCUAUGAGGCCCUAAUUGCAGAGGUACUGACUGACAGGUGGAGGGCCAGGGAGACUCUGUGUGGUGCCGAAGGACGUGUCUCCCAGAAUGGACUGAACCUUGUGAUUGCYUUAGGACACCAUUUGCCAUCCAUUGAACUGUUAACAAAAACUCUAGAGAYGGGCUGGACUGAAAACAACUUGGAGCUGCUGGCACUGACAAUAUGGACAGAAAACUUUGUAACUCCAAGCUGGAGCUGAAUUUGGCUCCCAGGGUUUAAAAUUUUACUUGUACAGUUGUUAAAUUUACUUAUUCAAAGCCAUCAGACCCAUGGCAUUCAUAMAUACCUAUCCCUAUCUGCCUCCGUAUCUCUCCAAACUAUUGUUCUCAGCUAAGACUYUGUUAUCCUUUAGAAAAGCCUUUUAUAUUUGGCUUCCAUUAGGGUAAAGCUCAGCCAGACAAAUAAUAAUGCUUAAACUACUUAAAAUCUUG